ensembl:lncRNA
UCAUGGUCAGAGAAGGAAGACACGUCAUGGAAGAUACGUCAUCUGGUUGCGCGCGGUCUUCUUCACUUUCGCUUGCUGCCGGGAGAGGAGUGGGUGUGCUUUCCAAGCCAGGUGCCUUCAUCAAGGAUUAAACAUGGCUUCAAAGAUCUAGAAGACUUCCUCCCAGCAGAUGAGGAAUUUAGCGGUUAUAGAACAUAGCAUGGAACUCUCACAGAGAAGACACAACUGGCAGUGCAAUGGACAGAGUCAGCAUCUGUGACAGAGCAUAAAUUCCUGGAAUAUUGAGAGUAAAACUGAAAGAAGAAUCCAUUACAAGAUGGGAUGAGAAAAGUUUGGUCCUUUGAGGUUUAGCUUCGGAGUUUGAAUACAAUAAAGAUAACGAAGAAAAAGACAAAUGUAGUUGUGUCAACAGCCUGAGAGAAGGAUUCAGAGUAUGAUCCUUUUCUCUCCCAGAUAAUUUGAAAUAAUAAAGCCUAUUUACUCUGGAAACUGACUGUACUCAGGGACAGGAGCAGUAAAAAAUGAAGAACUACAGUUUUGAAUGCUUCCUAACACCGUUUGUACAGUGUAUCAUGUUGUUCUAUGAGUUCUGUUCAUCUGUGAUGUAGAGGAUCUCAUCUCAUCAGUAAGUAAGAAUUUGAAUUAUUCUUAUUGACAACUUCAUCAUUAUCUGUACUAAUAACAAGGUUGUAGAAGCUAUGUGUCAGUAACUUAGUCACAUAUUUGACACAAUGUAUGUAGUGAAUACUUAGUUAAUCUGAGUUGCACUGAACUUCUGCUAUAUUUACCUUUAACUAUAUGUGUUGUUUUUUUUUGUUUGUUUGUUUGCUUUGUUUUCUUUUGUGGGUUUUUUUUUUUUUUUUUGUACUAAACAUUCUCUAACCUCAGUUUUAGAAUUCAGUGCACAUUUAUUUAAGCUUUAUGUUAAGUUCAUCCCUGACAACAAGUGAAAUUUAAAACUACAUGUGUUAGACAUGUUUCAACGUAUAACUACAGACAGAAGUAGACUAUUGAAUCUAUAACCUCAGAGAUUAUUCUUGUAGAAGGCAGACAAAAAACAAAAGCAGAAACAAACAACAACAACAACAACAACAACAACAGAAUGAGUGUUAUUUUCUGUGAAUGAUUUUCUGGAGUAUCUUUUCCACUGUUUUCUAUUAUUUUCCUGCACAACUUUAAUUUUUUAUGUGAUUCACAUUCUGAUAGAUCUGUAUUAUCUGUAAUUGUCUUCUCCAAUAUCUAAGAUGUACUCAUUUAUUCUUUUUCUCUUCAUAUCAUAUACUUAUUUUUUAAAAAGUGUUGAAAUACAUAAAAUGAAUAGCAGAAAUUCAAGGAGGCCAAUGACAUUUUCCCACAGGUCUACCUACAGACUGCUAUCAUAAUGAAGUAUUUUUUCCUAUGUUAAUAACGAACACAUGCUAUUUGGAUGAAAAGACAGUGAUACAUCUGGUAGACAGAAAGUAUCUAGAACUGUAGACACCUUUCUUACUGAUGCAUGCACACACACGCACAAACAGAACCUGAGUGGAUAAACUUACAAUUUUAAGAUGGAAUAAUGUCUUUCCAAAUAUUUUUCUUCUCAUACCAGUCAAAUGGCAUAUCUUUGUUACAUGUCUAUGCUACACAAUUCCAUACUAAAACACUUACUGUUUAUUAUUUCUACCUUUUGUAUACUCCUCUGGAAAAGUGUCAAGAAAGGAAAAAGUAGACUGUGAGUCUGCUUGUGAGUCGAAGUGAACAACAUUUUCAGUAUGAAGAUCCUGUCGAGUACAAUACUUGUUCAGUGCAGCCUUUGAAGGAUCUAGCCCAUUAACUUAAAUAUAUAUAUAUAUAUAUAUAUAUAUGCUUAGUGUAGAUUUGAUAACUGUAUUACACAGGUUUAGAAAUUGCCUGUCACUUCAAAACACUUUUUUUUUCUGAGGAAAAUAAAUAAUAUGCAAAAGAGCUCUUUGUUGGUAAUAUUCAGUGAGAUAACUCUGCAUUACUUAAGAACAUCUUUGGAAGAAUAACUUUGCAUACAUAAAGAUGAGAAUCAUAAUUCAUUCUGUAAUAAAUAAAAGAAAGCUAAAAAAACAUUCAUGAUAAAAUGACCGUGGUUUACCAAGAGGCGAUUGUUACACAGCAUCAAAAAAUCAUUUUUAACAGCAAACUAGUGCAGUAGUGAAAGGUUAUACAGAAGGAGUGAAUAACCUUAGUCCCUGAAGACCUUCAAGGCUCACUAGAAAAGUUACAAAAGAUUUUAUCUAGUGCUGGCAAGAGACAUGAAAGUUCUUAUAGGUAACCCCCAUAAGUAGUAUUUAAUCAAUAUUUAUAUGAAUCUGUCAUUACUAAAAUUCUGGUGAUUUCUGCUGCAUUGUUCAUAGCUGUAUGUUUUUGUGUGUCAGGUUACAUACUUCAUCUGACUUAUUUUUACUUUAAGAAAGGAUGAAUUGCAUCCUAACCAAUAAGGACUGUAAACACAGUUUAGACUGAGAACUUCAAAUGUGGAUGUUAAAUUUUAGUCAAAUAAGCUCCACUUUCUCUGAGUGCACAGAAUACAUACUAUGGAGUUAGCAGCUGGUGGAUAAAACCUUCAGUUGUGAUUGUUUAGGGUAAAAUUCAUAAAAUUUAUUAUGAGUUUUAGUGAUUAAGAAGCCAUUAACAAUGAGUUUCACUGUAAUACUAUUAACAGUAAUAAAAACACUACAUAUCAACAAUACAUGUCUAAAUCAGAAGAUUUAGAAUUUGAGAGAAUCAGAACUCUUUUGGUCUUGUUCAGCAGUUAUACACCUGAUAGCUUCUCUGAGAAAUUUUUGUCUAAGUAAUAAUAAGAAACAUUCCCUUAGGCUGUUCAUCAGCUUGUCUUCAAUAUCAUAAUCUUGUAUGAAUAAUACAGUUUCAAUCUGACCUUCCUCAAGUCUCCAAAGAAGACAGAUAUUGAAAAACAAGAAACCACAGUCAAGACACAAAACUGGUAAUCUGGAUUCCAUUCCAUGUUCAAAGUUACAGAAAACAUUCUUGAUUCUCAGCAGUGAUUGGAAAAUAGAACUCGUGACUGUUAUUUUUAGCAAGAAAAAAAAAUAUUAAAGAGAAUUAAGACAGAACUUGAAAAAAAAAAAAAAAAAACCUGCUUAUAACAAAAAAUGGCUUACACUUUCCUUGCAGACCAAAAAUUGAUUCUCAAAAAAACAUGUGUAUGCUUUUCUCUGAAGAGGAUACUGUGGUUUUUUUUGUUUGUUUGUUUGUUUUUUAAUGGGAUUUAACUUUGUUUUAGAAUUAUUUUCCAGUGGUUGAAUAUAUGAGACAUUUUUUACUAUUAUUUAAUUAUGCUUUGCUCCAAGGUAAUUAUUUUAAACUUAGGGAGAUUUAAAUUGGCUUGUUUUACGUCUUGAUUUUCUGAAGCUUGAUGUUUAUGUAGAAACUUUACAAGUACUGCAAGUUUGACAUGUGAAAGAAUUACCAACAUGCAUUUCAAAGGUUGAUUUUCCAGGAUAUACAUAAACUACUAUGGAACCAAAGGAAAAAAUUGUGGAUACUGUUUGUGGAUACUGGUGUCUGUAUAUUUCAUCUACAUCUGCAAAUGAAUACAGCACUCAAAUAAUAAUAAUUAAAAAAAAUAUAUAGUACUAAAAAUUAAGAAAAGUUGGAUAUGUUAGGAAACAGUGAUAUGUGAAGAAAAGCCAUCUUACUAUAAGAACUUGGUUAAAGAAGAUGAAUGUGAAGAGGAACAAUCCUAGUGAAAGUGACAGAUUCUGAACCAGUAGAGUUAAAUUGUUUCAUUUUAAAUUAUCAUUAUUAAUUAUCAUCAUUAUAAAAAGACUGUUGGAUUCCUCAUGUCUGUGUCUCCAGUCCACAACAGAGAUUCGAAAAUGUUAUCACAUUAGUUUGAGAUAUAUCGAGUUUUCAAUUUUAUUUUGUUUCUCUCAGUACAGCUUACUGAACAGGUUGUGCUGGAUUAUUAAAUUGGUAGUAAAUAUAAAUACAGUACUAGUUUCUGAUUAUUGCUAAUCUUCAUGUUAUUUUGACUGGAACACUAUGCUUCUAGAGUACACUCCUGUUUCUUUUUGUUUACCUUCCUUUGUCCUCAUUUGUAUAAAUAAUAGCUAAAUAAUCACAGAAGUUACAUUCACUUAUUUCUGAAACAUAAUAUCUCUAUUGCCUCCUCAUCCAGAUCUGAGGCAGACUGAGUUAAUGAGAC